UUUCACUUAAAGGGGCCCUACAGUCAUUUUUUAGUCGAAAGCCACCUUAAGUAGGGAACUCCACGGAGAUUCGUUUGGCUGUGUCUUACAUGCAGUAUCCAUGAGUAUGAGUACUUUUGCACACCAGAAAACGCAUGCAUACUGUGGUGCGCAUGUCAAGUAGCGACAAUAACAAAAAAAUGUAAACAAUACUUACUUGACUAAAAAUUACUGUAGGGCCCCUUUAAAAAAAAAUAUUUCCAACCAUCAAGUGAGAAAAAAAAAUAUUUCUUCUAUAGGUGUACAAAAAAAAUAUUGCCUCUUAGAAAAUCCCCCCCCCCCCCAUCACUUUUCUAAUGGUCCGUCCCUUACAAAGUGCAAACCUCAUCAAGAUUUGAACCGUUUUAAAGUUGAUGGGGAGUUGAUGAGAGUUGGCAGUCAAACACUAGCAAGAGUUGCAACUCUCGAUCACCAACUCUCAUCCUCGUCUGACCAAACUUUAUGUGUUUGGGGGAGGGAUGAUAAAUACAACCUCUGUUUCUCAAGGACGUCCUAUUAAUUGGACACUUUAAUAUUGAUUUUCAAUAAUUGCUACAUGCAGCUUCAUGAAUGCACCCAGUUAUUUAUAAGUAGGCUGUAUAUCUACAGAUACUUGUACUGCAAAACUGGUUAGGGGUGGGUAAUUUUAAGGGUUAUAUAAGCAUUAUGUUGCAACUAUACUGCAUAUUAAUGUGCUUACAGGAACCAAAGAGAAUCAUUCUUGGGCAAACAGAGGUGUUCCGAAGAAAAAAUGGUAUUAUACGUCAAGUACAAUCAAAUGAUGAAGCACAUUACAUACCAUUGCUUGAAAGCCUCAAAAAUCUAUUGAGUGAUGAAUUCAUUCUUAAUGAGG